GCAUGCCGGUAGUCGUAGUCCGCGCGCCCUCUCGGAGUACUGUGCCCUUCAUGGCCGCCGGCACUGCGCUUGCCCACUCUUCCGCUCGGCCUUAGAAAGUUUCGUUUCUGCCCAGCGGUGGACCACUGAGCGUGUGCCACCAUGGAGUCUGACCAUUGCUGACUGGCAGCCAUACAGUACUGAAGUAAUAGCCUGUUUUGUAGCUAAGCAUCCAAGAGAGGGGGACACCAUGGCUUCUAACAGCACUGAGACCCAGCUCCAGAGGAUCAUCCGUGAUCUACAAGAUGCAGUGACAGAACUAAGCAAUGAAUUUAAGGAAGGAGGAGAACCAAUCACAGAUGACAGCACCAACUUGCACAAGUUUUCUUAUAAACUUGAGUAUCUUCUGCAAUUUGAUCAGAAGGAGAAGGCUAGCCUCCUGGGUAGCAAGAAGGACUACUGGGAUUACUUCUGUGCGUGCCUAGCCAAGGUGAAAGGAGCAAAUGAUGGGAUCCGUUUUGUCAGGUCCAUCUCUGAGCUCCAAACAUCCCUGGGAAAAGGGAGAGCCUUCAUUCGCUAUUCUUUGGUGCACCAGAGGUUGGCAGACACCUUGCAACAGUGCUUCAUGAACACUAAAGUGACCAGUGACUGGUAUUAUGCAAGAAGCCCCUUUCUGAAGCCAAAGCUGAGCUCUGACAUUGUGGGCCAACUGUAUGAGCUGACUGAGGUUCAGUUUGAUCUAGCAUCAAGGGGCUAUGACCUGGACGCUGCUUGGCCUACAUUUGCCAGGAGGACACUGGCCACGAGCUCUUCUGCUUAUAUGUGGAAACCUCCCAGUCGAAGCUCCAGCGUGAGCAGUUUAGUGAGCAACUAUUUGCAGACUCAGGAGAUGGCCUCCAGUUUUGACCUGAACAGUCCUUUAAACAAUGAAGCACUAGAAAGCUUUGAUGAGAUGCGGCUGGAGCUGGACCAGUUGGAGGUUCGGGAGAAACAGCUACAAGAGCACGUACAGCAGCUAGACAAGGAGAACCAAGCCCUUCGAGUGAUGAUCAGCAAGCAAGGGGAGCAGCUUCAGGUAGAGAAGGAGAAAGGGUACCCUGUGAUAGAGGAUAGCAUUGGCCUCAUGGGCCUGGUGGCAGAGCUCCAGAAGCAGGGAGAAGCCACCAAGGCCACGGUGAAGAAGCUACAGACAUGUCUGCAGACCCUGGAGCUGAAUAUAGACAAGAAAGAAAACAGCCACUCAGCCUUGCAGCUUGAGAACAUGGCACAGGAGCUUGAGGCUAUGAGACACUCCUUGGGUAGGAAGAACCAGCUUCUAGCCAGCCUUUCAGAAUGCCUGGCCAGGGCUGAGAAGAGAACAAAUCCAUCUCUGGAUACAAAAUUUCAUCAAGAGCUAGUUCCUGCCGACCUGGCCAUGAAGUUUCAGGAGCUGAAGGGAAAACUUCAAGCCCUAGAAGGAGAGAACACAAAGGCCCAGGAGCUAAACAGCCAGCAGAGUAUCAAGCUAGAGCAGCUGCUCAUGGAACUACAGCUGAAGGAGGAGGCCCAGGCUGGCCUAGAGCACUUAGUGAAGGAUAUGGCCCCACUUCAGGAAGAGUCAGCUCAGCUCCGGCAACAGCUACAGGAAUCUCUGGCCCACUUGAGCUCAGUGAAGGAAGAGCUGGCAGAAGCUAGGCAGCAGGAAAAGCAGCAACGAGAAGAAAAGCAGCUACUGGAGCAGGAAGCCAAGUCUCUGACAUGGCAGCUACAGCUCCUAGAGACCCAACUAGCACAAGUGAGUCAGCUUGUAAGUGAUCUAGAGGAACAGAAGAAGCAGCUCAUUCAGGACAGAGACCAUCUUAGCCAGAAAGUAGGCACACUGGAGCAGCUAGCUGAGGUGCAUACAGCCAACAAAAGUAAGGAGGCUCUGACCUCCCUGAGCUCUGUCCCUCUACAGGCUGGGGAGAUGCCAGAAGAGGGGCAGGAAUGCCUCCAGGAAGAACAGGUAAAUAAUACCAUGGUGCCAGGGGGAGACCAGGAGGAAUUGCAAAAGAUCAACCAGGAGCUACAGAAGGAGCUGCAGAAUAUGGCUGUGCGCAACCAGCUCCUAGAAGGCAAACUGCAGACCUUGCAAACAGAUUACAAGGCACUGCAGGAGCGAGAGGCAGCCAUCCAGGGCUCCUUAGCCUCCCUGGAAGCUGAGCAGGCUAGCAUCCGGCACCUGGGAGACCAGAUGGAAGCAAGUCUCUUAGCUGUGAGGAAAGCCAAAGAGAGUAUGAAAGCCCAGGUGGCAGAGAAGGAGGCUGCCCUGCAGAGUAAGGAAGGUGAGUGCCGGCGGCUGCAGGAAGAGGCAGAUCAGUGCCGGCUUCGGUCAGAGGUCCAGGACCAGGAGCUCAGAGCUCUUGAGAGCCAGUGCAAGCAGCAGAUUCAGCUGAUUGAGGCCCUCUCUGCAGGAAAAGGCCAACAGGGACUCAGCCUAUCCCAAGUCAACACAGCCCAACUGGCUCUGUCUCAAGCACAGCUGGAAAUUCACCAGGGGGAAGCACAGCGGUUACAGAAUGAGGUGGUGGACCUCCAGGCCAAGCUCCAGGUGGCCGUUGGUGACCGGGACAAGUUACAGAGCCAGCUGAGUGUGGCUGAGGAAGUCCUAAGAGAGCACAAGACCCUGGUGCAACAACUGAAAGAGCAGAAUGAAGCCCUCAACAGGGCCCAUGUUCAGGAGCUGCUGCAGUGCUCAGAGAGAGAAGGGAUGCUCCGGGAGGAGAGCAUCUGCAAGGCCCAGAAGCAGGAGCAAGAGCUACAAGCCAUGCAGGCAGAGCUGUCACGGGUGAGUGCUGAGGAAGCCCACCUGGAGCAUGCAGAGCUACAAGACCAGCUGCACAGAGCCAACACAGACACAGCUGAGCUUGGCAUACAGGUCUGUGCCCUGACAGCGGAGAAGGAUCGAAUGGAGGCAGCUUUGGCCAGCUUGGCCCAGGAGCUCCAGGACUCCAAAGAGGCAGCACUACAGGAACGAAAGGGCUUGGAGCUCCAAGUGAUGGGACUACAGCAAGAGAAGGAGAGCUUGCAGGAAAAGCUAAAGGCAGCUGAGGAGGCAGCUAGUUCAUUCUCUGGUCUGCAGGAACAGCUGGCUCAGGCUGAGCAGCUGACCCAGAACCUUCAAGAGGCUGCACACCAGGAACGAGAUGCCCUUAAGUUCCAGCUAAGUGCUGAGAUCAUGGACUACCAGAACAGACUAAAGACAGCCAGUGAAGAGUGUGGGAACCUCAGGGCCCAGCUAGAAGAACAAGGCCAGCAGCUGCGAAUGACUAAGGAGGCUAUGCACAAACUGAAGGUCACCAAAGCAGCCAUAGAGGAAAAACUGAACUGCACCAGCAGCCGCCUUGCAGAGUGCCAGGCCACUUUGCUGCACAAAGAUGAAGAAAGUACUACUCUUCGAAUAAGCCUAGAAAGAACUCAGAAGGAACUUGAAAAGGCCACAUCAAAAAUCCAAGAAUAUUACAACAAACUCUGCCAGGAGGUAACAAACAGGGAAAGGAAUGAUCAAAAGAUGCAUGCAGACCUGGAUGACCUGAACAGAACCAAGAAAUACCUUGAGGAGCGGCUGAUAGAGCUGCUCAGAGACAAAGAUGCUCUCUGGCAAAAGUCUGAUGCACUGGAAUUCCAGCAGAAGCUCAGUGCUGAAGAGAAAUGUCUUGGGGACAUGGAGGCCAACCACUGUCAUGACUGCAAGAGGGAGUUCAGCUGGAUAGUCCGGCGGCACCACUGCAGAAUAUGUGGCCGCAUCUUCUGUUACUACUGCUGUAACAACUAUGUCGUGACUAAGCCCAGUGGCAAGAAGGAACGCUGCUGCCGAGCCUGCUUCCAAAAAUUUGGCCAAAGCCCUGGAUCUCCUGAUAGCAGUGGCUCGGGCACUAGCCAGGGAGAGCCCAGCCCCUUGGUGUCACCAGCUGAAGCAGGCCCCCAGGCCAUAGGAAGCCAAGGAGUAAAUCCAGUAUGCAGACCACCAGAUGAUGCUGUGUUUGACAUCAUCACCGAUGAGGAACUGUGCCAGAUCCAAGAAUCUGGCUCCUCCUUGCCUGAAACACCCACCGAAACUGAUUCAGUGGACCCACAUAUGUUGGAACAGGACACCACAUCAAAUUCAUUAACCCCUGAAGAUACUGAAGACAUGCCCAUGGGGCAGGAUGCUGAAAUAUGCUUGCUGAAGUCAGGAGAGCUGAUGAUCAAAUUACCCCUUACAGUAGAAGAAAUCACCAGCUUUGGGGAGGGCAACAGGGAGCUGUUUGUGAAGUCCAGUACUUACAGCCUGAUUCCCAUCACUGUGACUGAACCUGGCCUCACCAUCGGCUGGGUCUUCUCAUCUGACCCCAAGAGCAUCUCCUUCAGUGUGGUCUUCCAAGAGACAGAAGACACGCCACUUGACCAGUGCAAGGUCCUCAUUCCCACCACCAGAUGCAAUUCCCACAAGGAGAGUAUCCGGGGUCAGCUGAAGGUCCGAACCCCUGGCAUCUACUUGCUCAUCUUUGACAACACCUUUUCCAGUUCAAGUGUGUCACUUAAGCCUUGCUGUGGAUCCAGAGAGAGGUGUGACGCGGGCAGCGUGUAGCCUCCAGCAGGCUCCUGGAAAACCUGGUGAUGCUUUGGGGAAUGAACUCUGCCCAUAGAACAUGAAGAUCAGAACUGACACAAAUGUCCAAUGGAUUUAUCUCCAAAAAAGUAUUUUACCACCUGACUAUUGACCGGCCUGUGAUCUACGAUGGAAGUGAUUUCCCAUAGCAUCAGUACCUGAACUUUAAUAGGUCUUCAUCAUCCACAGGAAGCACUACUACUCACCUUUCUCAUUAAACACACACACACAUUUUAGAAAUUAAAAAGUUAGAACAAAGGAGAGAAGAUUGGUUAUACACCAGCUCUACAGCUAGGCAGAGGCCUUGAACUGCAUCUUAGAAACUACUCUGAGAAGAUCCACAAUGUGCUUUGGCUCCAUGCAGCCAUCCCUCUCAGUUCCCAGGGCUCCUAAGGACCAGAUCUAAGACUCAACUAUCUUCUCACCCAAAGAGACACCUUGCCAAAUGUUUAUACUCUAGGGGCACCAUUGGCCUCACCGGGGCUCACAGUUGGUAACAGUCUAGAAGUGGUCUUGACAGUAUGUCUAUUCUCAACAUCCAGGAUUAUGGGCCACUGCCCUGGCCACUUUGCAAAGCCUUGGAUAGUCCCAGGAGAAGGAGGCCACAGGGCAAUCGUGUGAGAAAUACCCCUAUCCUUUCAUUUCCCCGUAAGUGGGGGUUGCUUCUCCCACUCGGCUACUUUGGAGAAGCUUAAGUUGUGCUGUCCUCCUUAGCCUUGGUCUUCUUAGGGCCUUUGCUCAGCCAGGCUUCUCAGCAGCUCUGAAUAACACACACACACACACACACACACACACACACACACACACACGAACCAACCAGAGGUCUUGGAAAGAGCAGCUACUACAUGAAGCCUUCAGCUCUGCAUGUGGAUGGCAGGAGUGUAAAUACAGGCUAAGUUCCGUACAGUGGAACUCUGGUUGGUAGCAGAGCUCAUGUGUCAGCCCAUAGCCAGUCUUUGUUAUAAACACCAGUAUUCUGCCUCAUUAGUGAAAUACAGUUGGUCACUAAUGAGCCAAGCCACUUUCGAUACCUGGAAUCUUUCUAAAAAGUCUCUGGUAACAGAGCAUAACUUCCUUUAAGCCUCUAUCUGCUAGUCACUUCCUCCCCAUUUGCCUACAUCCUGCUAGUCUUCUCACAUCUGACACUGCAGACAGUUUAUUGUUUCCUUUUCUAGACAGGGAAACAGAUAGCAUAGAUAGCUUUCUAUUCUCUGUGGCCCUUUUUUACUCCCACUACAAGAAAUUACUUUUGUUAGUGACUUUGUUCACUGUGAGGCCAGCAUGUGUAACUGAAUCUUCGAAGAUUAACAUGGGUCCUUGUAGGUCUGUAUGUGGCCUGAGAUUCCUGAAAACUAAGUCAUCUUACCUUUGAACUCUUCUACCCUCUUGCAAAUGAAAUGCUGAAGUCAUAGGCCAACAGCGUCCAGCACCAACUAGGAUCUCAUUUUUAUUGCUUGGCGCUUCUAGGGUAUAUUGGAGAUACUGGCCACGCUCAUGGCCUUCUGCUGGUGUCACUGCUACCACUGGCAUCAAGAGCUACCAUCCACUGAGUUGCUGUUGUAAUGGUGGUCUGGGAGAGGCCUGAGACCUUCCAUCUGAGUUUAUCCUAAACCUCUGUCCCUCAUCAGGAGGCCCAUGGGGUUCUUGUGAGGUAAGGGGCUCCAGUCCUGACUGCCUAGUGCUCCAGUAGACACCAACUCUUUGUUUUUAAUAGUAUAUUUAUUUUUGUGAUGAAUGGUCUUGUACUGUAUUCUGUGUUAGUUCACUGUUCAUGCUUCCGUUUGCUGAGCACUGGAUUACUAGAGAACACUUGGCCCCUGUGUAACUGUGCCUUUCAUACAUGGCUUUAGUGUUUUAAGUAGUUCCCAAUUUUACUUAGGUUUAGUCAUCGGAGUAACUUUUAAAAAGUGAAAAUGACAACUGAUGAAUCACUAAGGAAGAUGGUAAACUAAAAAUCAUAAGGAAACAUCCAUGGUCCUGGGCCAUUCUUUUCCUAAGGGCAGCCUCCCCUCUAAUGACUCGGCCCCUCAUAGCAGCCAUGUUAGUAGGGUAGUGUUGCCAGCCACCUGUUCGCCAGUGCCGCUGAAGCACUGCCAGGCUUCACCCCAGAAAUUAACUAGCCACCCAGACACAGGGAAGUGUGUCUGAGACAGUGGCCCUCCAUGUCUGAGUGGACUCUGAGAGCAUUGCUGACAUAAGCACUGUGGAGUCUAACGAGCCCUAGAGCAAGAGCAGGCAAAGGAAUUCUCAAGCAGAGAUCUGGAACUGAAAAUCUCCAUAUGAUUUGAGAAGUAGAAAUUAUAUAUAGUUAUAUAUAAUAUAUAUAAAGGAGAUGUUAUUUCUGAACAGUUUCAAUUGUCCCCCAGGUAAUCAAGCCACUCCUGUCAAAAAGAAGGAAAUCUUGCUGAAGAUAAGGCUUGAUGUUUGUGUGGUUUUGUUUUAAACUCAAACUCAGUGGUUCUACCUGUGAGAAUUCUUGAGACUGAGAAAAAAAUUCUUGACUCAGAGGUUUUGGAAAAGGAGGCAGAAGGGAGCCAUCUUUGGAAGGACAUUAAGUCCUCAGAAGCAUGAGUGUAGAACAAAGACAGUUAGUGCUGCUCACACUUACAAAAACAAACACUACUGUGGAAUCUUAGCGCAGUUACCUCAUCUCACUUCUUUCAGGGAAACAGGAAAAUUAAUUUAUAAUUUCCUUUUCCUUCUCAAGCACUUUUUAAAUUUCAGAAGACCUCUCUAAUCAAGGGCAUUUUUAGAGCCUUUUGAUGUUUGUUUAAUCUAGAUGCUCUGCUUUUGGUGCUGCAGCAACACUGAGCCUCUGUGAGAAGGCUUAACAAUUGGAGUGCACUUUAAUUCAUUAAUCCUCUCUUCAUGUGGCCUUAUGAGAUAAAGAGUCAGGGAACCCAUUGCAUUCUUACCUGCCAAAGAGUUACCCAGAAGCACAUCAAACACGAGCACUUCAUCUGCACAAAGGGAUGAGACUUUGGUAUUCCUGAGUAUACUCCUUUAAUACUGUUUGCUUUGCCAUUUGGAAAUGUUUCUUAACCUCAAGGUUUAAAUAAAGCAAACACUGUGGCA